GAAAAGGCCGCCAUUUGAUGUGUUUUCUAACAUCGUCGAUAUUCAAUACACGUUAGUAUAACCUAUUGGUACAUAAAACUUCAUUAUAGAACAAGACAAGACCACAAUAGAUCUGAGAAGGUCGCAGUGGGUCAGGCCGAGAUCCACCUCUAGAAAUCUAAUCUAGAACAAGACAAAGACCUUACUUGCAAACUACCAUACAUAUCUUUUAAAAAGGAUGCUAAGUUAAGAAGUUUAGAUAAAUCUACAAUAUAUUAUCAUCAGACCAAAGGAAGGAUAAUUAUUUAAAAGAAUAAGUUAUGUUAUGAUACAUAUAUAGAUUUGGA
rnacentral:lncRNA from 1 species